rnacentral:rRNA from 1 species
UACGGGGGGGGCAAGCGUUGUUCGGAAUUACUGGGCGUAAAGGGCUCGUAGGCGGCCAACUAAGUCAGACGUGAAAUCCCUCGGCUUAACCGGGGAACUGCGUCUGAUACUGGAUGGCUUGAGUUUGGGAGAGGGAUGCGGAAUUCCAGGUGUAGCGGUGAAAUGCGUAGAUAUCUUGAGGAACACCGGUGGCGAAGGCGGCAUCCUGGACCGGCAUUGACGCUGAGGCGCGAAAGCCAGGGGAGCAAACGGG